CGGUAACAUUUCUAGCUUGCUAGAAGAUGACGAGUGGCGGACGGGUGAGUAAUGCUUGGGAACUUGCCUUUGCGAGGGGGAUAACAGUUGGAAACGACUGCUAAUACCGUAUAAUGUCUACGGACCAAACGGGGCUUAGGCUCCGGCGCAAAGAGAGGCCCAAGUGAGAUUAGCUAGUUGGUAAGGUAAAGGCUUACCAAGGCAACGAUCUCUAGCCGUUCUGAGAGGAAGAUCAGCCACACUGGGACUGAGACACGGCCCAGACUCCUACGGGAGGCAGCAGUGGGGAAUAUUGCACAAUGGGGGAAACCCUGAUGCAGCCAUGCCGCGUGUGUGAAGAAGGCCUUCGGGUUGUAAAGCACUUUCAGUUGUGAGGAAAAGUUAGUAGUUAAUACCUGCUAGCCAUGACGUUAACAACAGAAGAAGCACCGGCUAACUCCGUGCCAGCAGCCGCGGUAAUACGGAGGGUGCGAGCGUUAAUCGGAAUUACUGGGCGUAAAGCGCACGCAGGCGGUUUGUUAAGCUACAUGUGAAAGCCCCGGGCUCA
rnacentral:rRNA from 1 species